GAUGAACGCUGGCGGCGUGCCUAAUACAUGCAAGUCGAGCAAACGGACGAGAAGCUUGCUUCUCUGAUGUUAGCGGCGGACGGGUGAGUAACACGUGGAUAACCUACCUAUAAGACUGGGAUAACUUCGGGAAACCGGAGCUAAUACCGGAUGAUAUUUUGAACCGCAUGGUUCAAAAGUGAAAGACGGUCUUGCUGUCACUUAUAGAUGGAUCCGCGCUGCAUUAGCUAGUUGGUAAGGUAACGGCUUACCAAGGCAACGAUGCAUAGCCGACCUGAGAGGGUGAUCGGCCACACUGGAACUGAGACACGGUCCAGACUCCUACGGGAGGCAGCAGUAGGGAAUCUUCCGCAAUGGGCGAAAGCCUGACGGGGCAACGCCGCGUGAGUGAUGAAGGUCUUCGGAUCGUAAAACUCUGUUAUUAGGGAAGAACAUAUGUGUAAGUAACUGUGCACAUCUUGACGGUACCUAAUCAGAAAGCCACGGCUAACUACGUG
rnacentral:rRNA from 1 species